rnacentral:rRNA from 1 species
AGAGUUUGAUCAUGGCUCAGAUUGAACGCUGGCGGAAUGCUUUACACAUGCAAGUCGAACGGCAGCACGGGAGCUUGCUCCUGGUGGCGAGUGGCGAACGGGUGAGUAAUGCGUCGGAACGUACCGAGUAAUGGGGGAUAACGCAGCGAAAGCUGUGCUAAUACCGCAUACGCCCUGAGGGGGAAAGUGGGGGAUCGCAAGACCUCACGUUAUUCGAGCGGCCGACGUCUGAUUAGCUAGUUGGUGGGGUAAAGGCUCACCAAGGCGACGAUCAGUAGCGGGUCUGAGAGGAUGAUCCGUCACACUGGAACUGAGACACGGUCCAGACUCCUACGGGAGGCAGCAGUGGGGAAUUUUGGACAAUGGGGGCAACCCUGAUCCAGCCAUUCCGCGUGAGUGAAGAAGGCCUUCGGGUUGUAAAGCUCUUUCAGCCGGAACGAAACGGUACGCACUAAUAUUGUGUGCUAAUGACGGUACCGGCAGAAGAAGCACCGGCUAACUACGUGCCAGCAGCCGCGGUAAUACGUAGGGUGCGAGCGUUAAUCGGAAUUACUGGGCGUAAAGCGUGCGCAGGCGGAUUGUUAAGCAAGAUGUGAAAUCCCCGGGCUUAACCUGGGAAUGGCAUUUUGAACUGGCAGUCUAGAGUGUGUCAGAGGGGGGUGGAAUUCCACGUGUAGCAGUGAAAUGCGUAGAUAUGUGGAGGAACACCAAUGGCGAAGGCAGCCCCCUGGGAUAACACUGACGCUCAUGUACGAAAGCGUGGGUAGCAAACAGGAUUAGAUACCCUGGUAGUCCACGCCCUAAACGAUGUCAACUGGUUGUUGGGGGAGUGAAAUCCCUUAGUAACGAAGCUAACGCGUGAAGUUGACCGCCUGGGGAGUACGGUCGCAAGAUUAAAACUCAAAUGAAUUGACGG